AACCCUUGUCCUUAGUUACCAGCACGUUAUGUGGGCACUCUAAGGAGACUGCCGGUGACAAACCGGAGGAAGGUGGGGAUGACGUCAAGUCAUCAUGGCCCUUACGGCCUGGGCUACACACGUGCUACAAUGGUCGGUACAAAGGGUUGCCAAGCCGCGAGGUGGAGCUAAUCCCAUAAAACCGAUCGUAGUCCGGAUCGCGGUCUGCAACUCGACUGCGUGAAGUCGGAAUCGCUAGUAAUCGUGAAUCAGAAUGUCACGGUGAAUACGUUCCCGGGCCUU
rnacentral:rRNA from 1 species